CUCUUCCUUCCCCCCUGAUUCCUCCGUCCAACAGCGUCUUCCUUAGGACGGCUUACCGGCGGAGGCCAUAGCCCGAUGCCCCACGUUGGAUGGACGCCAGAUGAACAAGAUUAAUUUAGAAAUAAACAAAAAUGUUUAAAAGUCUAUCUGUUCCUGUCCAAAUCUGAGAUGAAUAAAUUGCGUAUACGCAGAAGUAAGUUCACACUGACACAUGCAGUUCAGGUUAAAAACACUUCAGGAAAUUUAUUAGCAUCUAGUUCAAAAGUGGGCACGCAGGCCUUUUUAUAUGCAAAAUGAC